GGGUAUGCUCCAUUUCUUCUCCCUUACUUUCUUUUUCUUGGACCCAAUUCGGAUUGUUAAUUAUUUCUAACAAAACUACAGACAUUUUUUUUCCUUCAGUUUGUUAUGUUUAAUCUGUUUCAGCUAAAUCAUAGUUUAUGAUAUAUUCUGAAUUGGUCGAAAGAGAGUAGAGAUUAAUCAGUUAGCAUUAGCUGUAAAACUCGACAUUUGACUUGUUCAUUGUUCUGAAAUAAUGCUGAAGAGAAUGUUCUGAGAUUGAUGAGGUUAUUGUGAGGUUGUUGUUAUUGGUAUUAAAAUUAUGUUGCUUAUUGGAGAAGUUCGACUUUCUAUACACUCUAUUGCGGAAUUGGGGCUCACUAGGUGCUAUCUGUAACCAAAAAUGGUUACAUUUGAAUGCAAUUUGGGAUUUGAUGUGGCUUCUAUUUGUCUUUGAAAUAGGUUCCCCAGUUCUUCGUGUGGGUUUCACCGGUUCUUUGGCUACAUCGUGUCUAAAGCUCGGGGACCACAGGUUUAGAAGGCAGAGAUCAGGAAAAGCGAGUGGAGAUACUUUGUUCACUACCUUGGAUGGAAUAAAAGGAUGUUGAAAGCAAAAUCAUUAUUGAUGAAGAAGACUGGGAAUAAGCCAUCUGCCAAAAAUGUUACAACAGAGUUGCAACUAGAGCAUCCCUCGCAACAACAGAAGAGGCAGCCACAACAGCCAGGAAAUAGACAGCCACAAGACCCAGCAAAGAGACAGCCACAACAACCAGCAAAGAGGCAGCCACAACCACCACAGUUGCAGCAACUUGAGGCAUCACAGCAGCGGCAACCACAACCA